GAAGCUGCGACUGAGACAGCUACCAGUGCUGAAGAGCUUGCGGAAUCGAUAGUUAGGGAUGGUCCGCACGCAUUGAAUGUGUACGACAAUCUGUUCGCCAGCAGUGCAUGUGGAGUAUUAGCCGUUUGGAAUGCACAAAGCCUCUCCGUUUGCUUCGUCUUCAAGAUGGUCCUGAACGCCACCAAACGCAGGAGGGCGCUGGUAUUGGGUAGUCAUCAGAAAACAAAAACUGUUUGACACUGCUGAUGUCCCCUACUCUUCAUCAUCCGGCGGGAAAAGUAUCUGCGGCAGCACUCAGUGACGCCAUGACCUGCGUUGGUAGCAAUCUUCGCUCGGCACUGUUGCUCUGUUUGAGCUCGCAGAUGUGGAAGACGAACGAGCUAAAGCUCUCGUAAUCCUUCGCCGCGAGUGGCCCGAUUGGCACUUCGAACUGAACCGACACACGGUUGAGAAACUCUGCGAAUGUGAUAUCAUCUUGACGAACAGCGCAGAAGCGGUACUCAGCGUCAGUCCUUUGGUUGGGGGUGUCCUCGCUGUCUGGCUCAGUUACAGCCUCAAGACAGGAUAGUAAAGCCUGAGUGAGGUCAGACGCCAUUGUUUGUGAACGUCCAGUUUUUCUAUAUUCAGUAGCAGCAGUUUCACAUGUUUCAACGAGGUUGUUCUUCUCUCUAAUCAGAAGAUGGGCGUCUCAGAAGUCAACCUCAUUCCGCAUCAUAUAUAACAACUUCACACGCAGAUUCGGGAACUCAUAAACAAUGCGCAUGACAUGAAAUAUUUGUUGGCUCCGCUGGGGCCAGUAGUUGGCUAAUCACAUGAUAAGCUCUCAACCACAUAGUACUGACCUGCUAUUCUGUUACACGGUAGAACAGUUUUCACAAGAAAAGAAGGCCGGUUAGCGUUCUGUCUACACAUCGUUCAAAACGUGUUCCCCAGCUCCGGUGUCAGUUUGCAAGAGUCCUGUGAUUUCCUGCUGGCUCACCUGCCAGUUUUUGACCCGUAACGGAGCCAGCACGGUCUGGGUAGUGUCCUGCUGCCAUUAACGCGGUAACUCCACAUCUGGUACGAGUGAGGUUGUUAUCUCCUACUAAAUCGCGACUCCAAUGCUGCUUCCUCCCAUCAAUUAAUUUCUCCG
rnacentral:lncRNA from 1 species